UACGUAGGGGGCUAGCGUUGUUCGGAAUUACUGGGCGUAAAGGGCGCGUAGGCGGUCCUGAUCGUCGGAUGUGAAAGGCCUGGGCUCAACCUGGGAAUGGCAUCCGAUACGGCGGGACUGGAGUGUGGGAGAGGUUGGUGGAAUUCCUGGUGUAGCGGUGAAAUGCGCAGAUAUCAGGAAGAACACCAAUGGCGAAAGCAGCUUUCUGGGACGGUACUGACGCUGAGACGCGAAAGCGUGGGGAGCGAACAGG
rnacentral:rRNA from 1 species